rnacentral:lncRNA from 1 species
ACUCACACCCCCCCACACACACCGGAGUCGGUGCAUUCACCCCCCCCCCCAAAAUGGGUGCCCUGCAUCAGUGCACUCACACACCCCUGCACACCGGAGUCGGUGCAUUCACUCCCCCUGCAAAUGGGCGCCCUGCAUCGCGCCACUGCCCACGCCGGGUGGUGCGGGGGUUCCCCACGGAGGGGCCGCUCGCAGGAGCCGUUCAAACACCCCUCCUGUGCAGAGCGGAGAUGCCACCCGGCCUGCGCGAGCCCGCUGCUGCAAAGCCCCCGCCGCCCUGACUGGGGUCACCCUGCUGCACUAUACGGCAUCAGCGUGCACAGCUGGGUUUGUAUACGGGCAUAUAAAUAUAUGCGUCCAUGCAGGUGCAUGCAGCUGGCCUUGAACAGAUACACCUAUGCAUGCAUAUAUGUGUGCAGACAUGUGCAGCUGGUUUAGAAUAUAUAUACAUAUGUGUACAUGUGUGUAUGUAUAUACACACACAUAUAUACAUAUAUAUACACAUAUAUGUAUGUAGAUAUCUAUAAUGUGGUUUUAGAGGGGGGCAGGGGGUGCAUGUGCCCACGCCAGGCGGCGGGGCCGACCCCGGCAGUGCCAGGCCCCACACCACUGCCCGCACCCAGAAAGAUUCACUGGUUUAACUAAACUGGUGACUACACAGCCGGGAUUAACCRGUAAAAAACUGUGCACCUAGGAGAGGGGAGAGGAAAGUGCCUAAUUUCAGAGGGACUGUCUACCCCCGGCGUGUGAACUAUUUGCAGGGUUGAGGAGAAAGUUUGUAACGUCAGGAUCCAAAUUGCCAUGGGGGAAAAAAGGCAAUGCAAAAACGAGCCAUUUUUGCUAAAUAGUGCUGUGCCUGGGUCCUUCCUCAGGUCCCUCCCUGGGCUGUCUCUGCUCUCUCGCCUCCCUCUCCCCCUUCUGCACCCAACGCCUUGCAGACUGCAAGCGAAUGUAACGCCUGCCUCGUUAUUCACGCAGGCCGGUCCACUUCGGUAUUAAUUGAAUUAUUGCAGAGCGUGGCCUUUACUACUGCAAAGCGCGAUGGCACACGUAGCAGGGGACGGGGGGAAAAUAAAGAAAGCGCAGCCCUAAUACCAUUUCGGUUCCGAUUUCUGAUACCAGGCACCGAAGCGACCCUUCCAGCUCCGGUGCCCUUGGCAGACGGCAGCGACAGCGCGGUGUCCCUUGGCCACUGGAGGGAGCCCAUAUUGUGCCAGAACGCCGUGGAAAGAGAGCGUAGAAGACAAAAAAUAAUAAAACAUGAAAUAUCAGAUCAUUGUAGUCGGAACAAAGUGUCUCCUCCAGGGCUGCUCCUGCAGGGUAGCCGGCACUCCGGCCUCCACGGCUGCCGUCAAACUCCCUCCUUUCCUCCCACCACGUGGUACUCUCCUUGGUCGCGCACGAGUAAGACCGGAGGUGAUCUAGUGCGAAGGGAAGGAAAGGGGACAUACGAUGCCGGCGUUUCGUUGCUGCGACAGGAGGAAGUCCCGCGAUUACGCUGCCACCCCGUGAACUUCACGGAUGUCCCGGCAUCCCCGUGUCUUGGGGAAACGGCUACGACAAAAACGUUCCCUGGGCACGGCGAUGAGAUGGACAUGACCUUUGCCCACUUGGUGGGACCAUGUCCAGAUGUGGGAAACCAACUUUGGGACAGUUAUUUCCAGCUAUCAAAUGUCCUUUCCCUGGCCUUGUGUUAG